CAGAACGAACGCUGGUGGCGUGUCUUAUACAUGCAAGUCGAGCGGUGCAGCAAUGCAUAGCGGCGAACGGGUGAGUAACGCGUAAGCAAUCUGCCCCCUGUUCGGGAAUAGCCGUGCCAACGCGCGGGUAAUACCGGAUAUCGUGGCUUCCCCAUGGGAAGUUGACAAAAGAUUUAUCGACGGGGGAUGAGCUUGCGUCCGAUUAGCUAGUUGGCGGGGCAACGGCCCACCAAGGCGACGAUCGGUAGCCGGCCUGAGAGGGUGAUCGGCCACAUUGGGACUGAGAUACGGCCCAGACUCCUACGGGAGGCAGCAGUAGGGAAUAUUGCACAAUGGGGGAAACCCUGAUGCAGCAACGCCACGUGUGGGAAGAAGCAUUUCGGUGUGUAAACCACUGUCGUGAGGGAAUAAGGCUAAUUUUCGGAUUAGUUGAAUGUACCUCGAGAGGAAGCACCGGCAAACUUCGUGCCAGCAGCCGC
rnacentral:rRNA from 1 species